GAUGAAGAACGCAGCGAAAUGCGAUAAGUAAUGCGAAUUGCAGAAUUUCCGUGAGUCAUCGAAUCUUUGAACGCACAUUGCGCCCACUGGUAUUCCGGUGGGCAUGCCUGUUCGAGCGUCAUUAAGUCCACUUAAGCCCUGCUUAGUGUUGGGAGACUGCUCCAGCGGUGCUACCCUGUAGCUACCCUGCAGCUCCUCAAAGACAGCGGCGGAGUUGUGGUAUCCUCUGAGCUUAGUAACUUGUUCUAGCUUUCGAGUACACCACUUCCCCUGCCGUAAAACCCUUAAUUUUUAAUGGUUGACCUCGGAUCAGGUAGGAAUACCCGCUGAACUUAAGCAUAUCAAUAAGCGGAGGA
rnacentral:misc_RNA from 1 species